GAGGAGUCCAGCCCUGGAUCCCCAGGUCUCCCACUGAGUGAUCAGCACUGAACAUAGACCCCUCACCAUGUAUUUCGGGCUCUGCUUGGUUUUCCUUGUCCUUAUUUUAAAAGGUGUCCAGUGUGAGGUGAAGUUGGUGGAAUCUGGUGGAGGCUUAGUGCAGCCUGGAAGGUCCCUGAAACUUUCCUGUGCAGCCUCUGGAUUCACUUUCAGUGACUAUGGGAUGAACUGGGUCCACCAAGCUCCAGAUAAGGGGCUAGAGUGGGUUGCAUACAUUAGUCGUGCUGGUAAUGACAUCUACUAUGCAGAACCCAUGAAGAGCCGAUUCACCAUCUCCAGAGACAAUGCCAAGAACACCUUGUACCUGCAAAUGAGCAGUCUGAGAUCGGAGGACAUGGCCCUUUAUUUCUGUGCAAGAGAUACACAAUGAGUGAAUGUU